CUAUGAUUUAUUUUUUAUAGGUUGCAAUGGCCACAGGACAAGUACUAUUUCAAAGAUUUUACUAUUCCAAGUCAUUUGUUCGACAUAGUAUGGAGAUUGUGGCCAUGGCAUGCAUCACUUUGGCAUCUAAAAUUGAAGAAGCUCCUCGUAGAAUAAGAGAUGUUAUAAAUGUAUUUCAUCACAUUAAACAAGUGAGAACUGGAAAG